ensembl:rRNA 5S_rRNA 5S ribosomal RNA
GCUUACGGCCACACCACCCUGAACACGCCCGAUCUCGUCCGAUCUCGGAAGCUAAGCAGGGCCGGGCCUGGUUAGUACUUGGAUGGGAGACCGCCUGGGAAUACCAGGUGCUGUAAGUU